AUUGAACGCUGGCGACAUGCCUUACACAUGCAAGUCGAACGGCAGCACGGGUGCUUGCACCUGGUGGCGAGUGGCGAACGGGUGAGUAAUACAUCGGAACAUGUCCUGUAGUGGGGGAUAGCCCGGCGAAAGCCGGAUUAAUACCGCAUACGAUCUACGGAUGAAAGCGGGGGACCUUCGGGCCUCGCGCUAUAGGGUUGGCCGAUGGCUGAUUAGCUAGUUGGUGGGGUAAAGGCCUACCAAGGCGACGAUCAGUAGCUGGUCUGAGAGGACGACCAGUCACACUGGGACUGAGACACGGCCCAGACUCCUACGGGAGGCAGCAGUGGGGAAUUUUGGACAAUGGGCGAAAGCCUGGUCCAGCAAUGCCGCGUGUGUGAAGAAGGCCUUCGGGUUGUAAAGCACUUUUGUCCGGAAAGAAAUCCUUGGCCCUAAUACGGUCGGGGGAUGACGGUACCGGAAGAAUAAGCACCGGCUAACUACGUG
rnacentral:rRNA from 1 species